CCAGUUUAGGGUGGCGCAUCUUUAUAAUCCUCCUCCUCCUGCCUUCCUCCAUUAACCAUCACCACCAUCACCGCCACUAGAUAAAUCACCACUAAAUCAAUGAAUGAGUCUCAUAUACAUUGGAGCGACAGAGGGAGGCUGAUUUUGAUUUUGAAAUGAUUUUGGUAUGGGCGAACUGGGAAAUUGGGUUUUCAUUGAAGCGUAAAGAACUGGACGAUAGGUUCAUUGAUUUUGGCCCUAUCUGGAUUUGAAUCAAGAUCCAAAUUUUGUUUUUGUAGAUGGGGAUCAACCUGAAGGAUCAAAGCCAAAGAAAUUCUCCUUCGCCCCAAAGAGGAAGGAGAUAGAAAAUGGAGAUCAACCUAACAACACAGACUUCAGAGCAGAUGCGUAAAACCAUGGAAUGCAAUAGCUUCAAAAUACCUUACACGUUUUUUUUUACUAAAAUUGCGAUGAAGCCAGAGCGCAAGUGAUGUAAUUAGAUCAAUUUUAGUGGAGAAGGCUGAAAGACAGUGCUUGUGAUGCUGAUGAAAUAAUGGAUGAAUUCUCCUGCGAAACCUCCUGUGUUUACAUCAACAACUUGAAGACUUAAAUUAUAUGUGAUUUUGCCUCUUCCUGCAAUUUCGUCUCUACAAAGUUAGAGGUUCUGGCACUGAUAUAGUUUUCUGACUGCGUUAAUGACUUCUCUGGGUUCUCUCUCAAUAGAAAAUGGUGACCGCAGGAUGGAUGUACUGGAAAAUCCUGACCAGGGGCUGGAGCUGGAUGUAUAGUAAAAUCCUGACCAGGGGGUGGAAGUGGAUGUAAAUAGCAAGCAGAGACGGAUUGGACUGCACGUGCAGGGACAUAUUAGAAUAUGGCUCUGAUUCUUUCGUGCAUGAUAGGAAAAAUGUUGGUGAUUUGGGUGAGCUAGACAAAGUGAAAAUUAGAAUAUGGCUUUGAUUCUGUUUCAUUUUGAGCACCUGGAGAACUGUUGACGCGUUUAAUGAUGUCAUUGUACUAAAAUUCAACUUCUUUGUCCCUAGCAGUUAAUGGUAAAAGAUUUAAUCAGAGAGUA